rnacentral:lncRNA from 1 species
AGUUUCUUGCUGGGAGCGAGGGAGAGGGUGUCACUCAUUGAGUGCUCAUUGGUUUAACCCCAUAGACUUCAUUCAUUCAUUCAUUCAUUCAUUCAUUCUUUCUUUCUUUCUGUAGUGCCUCUGCAGGGCUCUGAGGACGUCAUGAUGACUGAAGCCCUGCCUCCUGGAGCGCAGUGAAAGCCUGGAUUCUUAGGGGAGGUUAGACCCGAUGUCGCGUUGGUCCCUACAACAUCAUCCCCAGGGGCUCAAGCCCCUCCGGCGGUUCAAGCAGGGAGAGGAACGCCCAAGACAUCGAACUAGGAGGGAGGAAGGAGAGUUCCGCAGACAACAGGCGACCUCCUCCCCGCCACCCCCAGCCGGGAUUUCAGACAAAAAUCAGGAAUCGUCACCAGCCAAGACUGUGUUCUGACCAUGUGACGUCUUCCAGGCACCAGGAAGAAAUAUGACCAAUCUCCGUAACAAAUGAGAGAAGCUUCACCUGACUGUGUUCUGUGUAUUUGGUUUAUUAGUCUUUUUAAAAACGUGUACUUGUACUGCUGGGUUCAGGUUUUCAACCAUAGAAUAUUCUAGAAAAAAUAGUGAUAACGUUUAUUUCACCGCUCUAACCCUGAAUGUGCAGCUGUGUUUUUCCAAAAAACAUUUUUUUUUACAAUUGUAGAAUAUGUAACAUGCAUCCAGAAAUGUGCCCUAAACACAAACAUAUGAUUUGGCAAAUAAUUACAUAGCAAGUCCCACGUUACUGUCAUCUCAUCUAGAAAUCAUUGUCCUUCCAGAAGCCCCUCACGUGCUCUGGCCAUCCCAAAUCCCUCCCUGCCCCAGGGAUAAAUAAUAUUCCAUUUUGUUUAUUAACCAACUAUGAAUUUCUCAACACAGUAGAUUUGAUUAUGUUUGACUCUUAUAUGAAUGCAAUCC